ACCGGAGGCAGCAGUGGGGAAUUUUGGACAAUGGGCGAAAGCCUGAUCCAGCAAUGCCGCGUGUGUGAAGAAGGCCUUCGGGUUGUAAAGCACUUUUGUCCGGAAAGAAAUCCUUGGCUCUAAUACAGUCGGGGGAUGACGGUACCGGAAGAAUAAGCACCGGCUAACUACGUGCC
rnacentral:rRNA from 1 species